UACGUAGGGGGCAAGCGUUGUCCGGAAUCAUUGGGCGUAAAGCGCGUGUAGGCGGCCCGGAAAGUCUGGUGUGAAAUCUUGAGGCUCAACCUCAAGCUGUCACUGGAUACUGUCGGGCUUGAGUCCGGAAGAGGAGAGUGGAAUUCCUGGUGUAGCGGUGGAAUGCGCAGAUAUCAGGAGGAACACCUAUGGCGAAGGCAGCUCUCUGGUACGUGACUGACGCUGAGACGCGAAAGCGUGGGGGGCAAACAGG
rnacentral:rRNA from 1 species